rnacentral:rRNA from 1 species
ACUCCUACGGGUGGCUGCAGUGGGGAAUAUUGCGCAAUGGGGGGAACCCUGACGCAGCCAUGCCGCGUGAAUGAAGAAGGCCUUCGGGUUGUAAAGUUCUUUCGGUAUUGAGGAAGGUUGAUGUGUUAAUAGCACAUCAAAUUGACGUUAAAUACAGAAGAAGCACCGGCUAACUCCGUGCCAGCAGCCGCGGUAAUACGGAGGGUGCGAGCGUUAAUCGGAAUAACUGGGCGUAAAGGGCACACAGGCGGUUAUUUAAGUGAGGUGUGAAAGCCCUGGGCUUAACCUAGGAAUUGCAUUUCAAACUGGGUAACUAGAGUACUUUAGGGAGGGGUAGAAUUCCACGUGUAGCGGUGAAAUGCGUAGAGAUGUGGAGGAAUACCCGAAGGCGAAGGGCAGCCCCUUGGGAAUGUACUGACGCUCAUGUGCGAAAGCGUGGGGAGCAAACAGGAUUAGAUACCCUGGUAGUCCACGCUGUAAACGCUGUCGAUUUGGGGGUUGGGGUUUAACUCUGGCGCCCGUAGCUAACGUGAUAAAUCGACCGCCUGGGGAGUACGGCCGCAAGGUUAAAACUCAAAUGAAUUGACGGGGGCCCGCACAAGCGGUGGAGCAUGUGGUUUAAUUCGAUGCAACGCGAAGAACCUUACCUACUCUUGACAUCCUAAGAAGAGCUCAGAGAUGAGCUUGUGCCUUCGGGAACUUAGAGACAGGUGAUGCAUGGAUGUCGUCAGCUCG